GACUUACAUGCCUUCAGAUAGCUAGCCAGUUCUCAACCAUGUCGGGGUCCUUCUCAGCAAAGCAUAGAAAGGUGAGCAUCCAGGCUUUCUUUCAUGGCACCUAAUUCACUUUCCCUCAAGCCAUCAACCAUCUUUCACUGAGCAGCCACUUAAUACCCGGCACUAAGGCAGGCCCACAGAAGAAGGAGAAGACACACUUGCCUGUGAGGAACCUGUGGGCUUGGUGAGGAGCUAAGACCCACGUGACCAGGAAAGCACCCCAAUCCAUUCAAAAGACUGGCAGGUGAAUGUCAGACUUGGGCGUGAGGAGGUGUGGCGGGCAUCCUAAAGACUGAGGAGGGGUCAGCAGGAUAGGGGCUUCAGGGAGGAGGGGAGGCUCAAACUUCAGUGAUUCUGGAGUGGGGGCCUCACAUCUUUGCUUCUGUACAGGUGUGAAGAGCGGGUCUUUUUGAGAGGAAAAGUACCACCUGGCACUUCCUGGGUCCCCUGCACUUCCCAGCAGCCUCUUACUUCAUCAUCAGUGCAGAGGGCUACCGUAGAGGGAGGAAAGGAACAAGCAGCUGUGGGAAGCAACAACUCAACAACCUUUGACUGAGGACAGACUGUUACAUUGCGCUGGACAGUGUGUGUGGAGAUACAGCUACCACUUCCAGGAGAGUGAAGCAGUGGACACAAAACACUGGGUAAGUAACAAGGAUGAGGUAACUCUGAAUAUUAGAGCAUCUCCAUUUAUCCAGGGAGCAUUUAAGGUUUUGUUGCUGUGAAUAUACAAAUGUGUUAGGAUAUAAAUGAAACAGACACAUCUGUGUAUAAUAGUUAAUGUGUUGUUUUAAUUACAUAUACAUACUUAAAAUCACUUAUUAUUUAGGCAGUGUUAGUGUUAAUCAUUUAGUUGUAUCCAACUCUUCAUGACCCAGUGGACUGUAGCCUGCCAGGCUCUGCUGUCCAUGGGAUUGUCCAGGCAAUAAUACUGCAGUGGGUUGCCAUUUCCUACUCCAGGGUACCUUCUUGACCCAGGGAUCGAAUCCACGUCUCCGGCCUCUCCUGCAUUGGCAGGUGAAUUCU
rnacentral:lncRNA from 1 species